UACGGGGGGAGCAAGCGUUGUUCGGAUUUACUGGGCGUAAAGGGCGCGUAGGCGGCCACCGCAAGUCGACUGUGAAAUCUCCGGGCUUAACCCGGAAAGGUCAGCCGAUACUGCGGGGCUAGAGUGCGGUAGGGGGCAGUGGAAUUCCCGGUGUAGCAGUGAAAUGCGUAGAGAUCGGGAGGAACAUCUGUGGCGAAGGCGGCUAUCUGGACGGUUUCUGACGCUAAGACGCGAAAGCGUGGGGAGCAAACAGG
rnacentral:rRNA from 1 species